UACAGAGGUCUCAAGCGUUGUUCGGAUUCAUUGGGCGUAAAGGGUGCGUAGGCGGCGCGGUAAGCCGGGUGUGAAAUCUCGGAGCUUAACUCCGAACUGCAUUCGAUACUGCCGUGCUUGAGGACUGGAGAGGAGACUGGAAUUUACGGUGUAGCGGUGAAAUGCGUAGAUAUCGUAAGGAAGACCAGUGGCGAAGGCGGUCUCUGGACCAGCACUGACACUGAGCACGAAGCGUGGAGCAACAG
rnacentral:rRNA from 1 species